rnacentral:lncRNA from 1 species
CAUUGCAUUACUGAAGCAGAUUGAAGGAAUACAUUUAAAACAGUUGAUGAAUAAAUUUUUCUCUCUAGCAUUCACAUUCAGAUGGACAGACAAAUGAAACUAAACAGAGACCUGUUCAGCUGAUCAGCUUUAGCAGCAGGAAUUUGCUGGUACAUUUCCUUCAAGCCAGAAAGAUCAUAAAACAAAAAAGUAAGUGUUGUUCAUAACAAGAAAAUGCAACAUCCCAUGGCAGAACUAACCUAUGCGCCUCACUCAGAAAGACUGUGGACAAGCCUGCUAGUAUUUUCUCCGUGAAAAAAAAGAACUGUGGGCCAGACAUUCAGAGCCGGAUGUGCCCAAGGGUGGUCUCUGCCAAACAAAGCAGAACAUAUUCCAAAGGAUAACACACCUGCCCAGCUGACAUUCUCAAGGAAGAGAAGACUGAACCACAUUGAAGGCUGGGUCUUUGGACUUUUUACACUGAAGACAGGAUUUCUGUUUCCCUCGGCUAACGCAUGCAGUUAAUAAUUUUCAGGUAUGAAAAUUCAAGAGGAUGAACAUGGGAACCUGAAACAUACCAAAUAUCUACACAAUUGAGGUGUGGCUUCUUGUAAUGUCUCCAACACACCUGUACAUUGCCUCUGUAAGAUGGGAUGUGAACAGUGAUGGGUUGUUGCAAUUACCACACAUCUGAAAAGAUUCUGUAGGUUCCCUAGGAGUGAAUCAAUCAUGAUACUGCAGAGCUUUCCAUAGCAUGCAUCUGGACUACUGUGUUUUACAACACACAAAUUCAGACCUCUCUUCUUUGUCACAUAAGCCCUAUAUGAUUAACAGAGAUAUUCUGUCAAAUUAAGAGGCAGACAGACCUAUAUUUUGGGGGGCAGGAGAAAUGAAGUUUUAAGUUUGCUUCUACAGUGAAGCUUCAAGAAUGUGAAGUACAAU